rnacentral:rRNA from 1 species
CGCGAACGGCUCAUUAUAACAGCUAUAAUUUACUUGAAUUUGACAGCCCUACUUGGAUACCGGUGGUAAUUCUAGCGCUAAUACAUGCACCAAAGCUCCGACCGCGAGGGAAGAGCGCAUUUAUUAGAACAAAACCACACGGCUUCGGCCGUCCAAUGUUGACUCAGAAUAACUAAGCUGAUCGCAUGGUCUUGCACCGGCGACGUUUCUUUCAAGUAUCUGCCUUAUCAACUUUCGAUGGUAGUGUAUCUGACUACCAUGGUGAUGACGGGUAACGGAGGAUAAGGGUUCGACUCCGGAGAAGGGGCCUGAGAAAUGGCCACUACGUCUAAGGAUGGCAGCAGGCGCGCAAAUUACCCACUCUCAGUACGAGGAGGUAGUGACGAGAAAUAACAAGACCGUUCUCACAAGAGGCCGGUCAUUGGAAUGGGUACAAUUUAAACCCUUUAACGAGUAUCUAUGAGAGGGCAAGUCUGGUGCCAGCAGCCGCGGUAAUUCCAGCU